CCUACGGGAGGCAGCAGUGAGGAAUAUUGGUCAAUGGCCGGAAGGCUGAACCAGCCAUGCCGCGUGAAGGUCAGUGCCCUAUGGGCGUUAAACUUCUUUUGUGCGGGAGCAAUAAUGGUCACGUGUGGCCAGACGAGAGUACCGUACGAAUAAGCAUCUGCUAACUCCGGUCAAGCAGCCGCGGUGAUACGGGGGGUGCAAGCGUUAUCCGGAUUUAGUGGGGUUAAAGGGUGCGUGGGCUGUGAGGUAAGGCAGCGGUGGAUUGCCCCCGCUCAAAGGGGUGAAGUGCCAUUGAUACUGCCUUGCUGGAAUGCGGAUGCAGUGGGAGGAAUGUGUGGUGUAGCGGUGAAAUGUAUAGAUAUAACACAGAACACCGAUUGCGAAGGCAUCUCACGAAUCCGCGAUUGACGCUGAUGCACGAAAGCGUGGGUAUCAAACAGGAUUAGAUACCCGUGUAGUC
rnacentral:rRNA from 1 species